GAUCUCUCUUCAAGCACAUCGCUUGGCUCAAGCACAUCGCUCGACUAUCACAUUCAACAUAAAGCAUAAACCAGAAAUGAGUGAGUAAUGACUAAUUUAUACUCGAUUCCCUUCAAUAGCAAAGCCUCUGUUUCCACCCAAGUCUUUCUCUUCUUCUUUGCCUUUGUCCAUGUCAUCAUUCAAGUCAACAUUCUUCUUCUGACGUGGCAUCAUCCUUACAUGGAUCGUAUCAAUACGCUUGAGGUUGUGUGUUGGUGGUGUUUCUGGAUUUGUGUGUUGCUUUUUAUGGUAGGUCUUGGAAUAAAGACACUUGCUUUUUGUUCAGUUCGAGUUUUGCGUUUUCUAGAAUCCAAAACAAUAUUAGUUCAUAGCUUGAUGAAAUAAUCUAGGCUCCAUUUGUCAUCUC